GACGAACGCUGGCGGCGUGCUUAACACAUGCAAGUCGAACGGAAAGGCCCUGCUUUUGUGGGGUGCUCGGGUGGCGAACGGGUGAGUAACACGUGAGUAACCUGCCCUUGACUUUGGGAUAACUUCAGGAAACUGGGGCUAAUACCGGAUAGGAGCUCCUGCUGCAUGGUGGGGGUUGGAAAGUUUCGGCGGUUGGGGAUGGACUCGCGGCUUACCAGCUUGUUGGUGGGGUAGUGGCUUACCAAGGCUUUGACGGGUAGCCGGCCUGAGAGGGUGACCGGCCACAUUGGGACUGAGAUACGGCCCAGACUCCUACGGGAGGCAGCAGUGGGGAAUAUUGCACAAUGGGCGGAAGCCUGAUGCAGCAACGCCGCGUGCGGGAUGACGGCCUUCGGGUUGUAAACCGCUUUCGCCUGUGACGAAGCGUGAGUGACGGUAAUGGGUAAAGAAGCACCGGCUAACUACGUG
rnacentral:rRNA from 1 species